rnacentral:rRNA from 1 species
UAGUACGGCGAGUGAAGAGGGAAGAGCCCAAGAUUGAAAGCUGGCGUCUUCGGCGUCCGCAUUGUAAUCUCAAGAAGUGUUUUCCGCUUCGGACCAAGCCUAAGUCCCCUGGAAAGGGGCAUCAUAGAGGGUGAUAAUCCCGUACAUGGCUUGGAGCGCCCGAGGCUUUGUGAUACGCUUUCUAAGAGUCGAGUUGUUUGGGAAUGCAGCUCAAAAUGGGUGGUAAAUGCCAUCUAAGGCUAAAUAUUGGGGAGAGACCGAUAGCGAACAAGUACAGUGAUGGAAAGAUGAAAAGAACUUUGAAAAGAGAGUUAAACAGUACGUGAAAUUGCCAAAAGGGAAGGGUAGGAGGUCAGAGAUGCGGCCUGGGAUUCAGCCUUGCUUUUGCUUGGUGUUUUUCCCAGAUUGCAGGCCAACGUCGGUUUUGGGCACUGGAGAAGGGUAGGAGGAACGUGGCACCCCUCGGGGUGUGUUAUAGCCUCCUACUGGAUACAGCGACCGAGACCGAGGACAGCAGCGUACUCGCAAGAGCGGGCCUUCGGGCACCUUUACGCUUAGGGCGUUGGCAUAAUGGCCCUCUACCACCCGUCUUGA